AGAAGAAGAAGCAGCAGCAGCAGCUUACUUGAGGGUUUCCGGUCCAAGCGGAGAGUCAUGGAAUCUUGCUAUAAAGGUAGAAGAUGUUCAUGCUCAUGGAAGGAGCUUGUAGCUCGUGGAGAUUGUGACAAAGGUGAAAUUCGAGUAGAGAUCAUGAUGGAGGCAGAAAGGUUGUGCUGGAACUCAGAAUUAUUCGAUGGGCAGGUCAUCAGGAAUUCACUGCAGGACCAUAUGAUCAACCACCAGAAAUCCAGAAAAUUAAGAAAAAGAAACUUCUUUGAUUGUUUUUUUUUCCUACUCUUAUGUCCAUCUAUUUAUUACCACGGUGGUUAUUUGUUGCAUUUCAGGUAGAACUUCACUCUUUCUUUGUUUCUUACAAAAUUUUCAGAUGAUACGCCAACAGGAAGUUAUAGCGAUGCCAGCGACAACACUAUAGAAAUCAAUGAGGACAACCAAUACUUCAACUGCAAAAUGAAAAACGGAGUUUUCAGAGCUAGCUCCUGCAAUUCAACAAAAAAUGCAAUGCGAUGAAGCUAUGCGAUGCUCUGGUGUUCGGCUAAGAAGCUGGAGUGGCUAAUCACUUUCUGCACCAAUGGGAUAAUUAAUAUCUUCAGGGGUGAUAUGAGAAGGGUUUUACUCCAUAAUAAAUUGAAAAUAAAAGAAAGGGUGAUCUAUCUUUGCUUCUUUGAACUGGUGAAGAGCAGGGAACUUCUUGAUUGUUCACAUCUCCAGACAGUAAUGGAGGUGGCUAAGAGAAAAAAAAUGCUCAUCCUUAUUUUCAACUACUUAUAUAUACCAGAGUUGGAGAAUUUAUAUUGAAUUUUUUUUGUAAUU